rnacentral:rRNA from 1 species
CCUACGGGAGGCAGCAGUGAGGAAUAUUGGUCAAUGGGCGCGAGCCUGAACCAGCCAAGUCGCGUGAGGGAAGACGGUCCUAUGGAUUGUAAACUUCUUUUGUCGGGGAGCAAAAGACGCCACGCGUGGCGUUCCGAGAGUACCCGAAGAAAAAGCAUCGGCUAACUCCGUGCCAGCAGCCGCGGUAAUACGGAGGAUGCGAGCGUUAUCCGGAUUUAUUGGGUUUAAAGGGUGCGCAGGCGGAAGAUCAAGUCAGCGGGAAAAUUGAGAGGCUCAACCUCUUCGAGCCGUUGAAACUGGUUUUCUUGAGUGAGCGAGAAGUAUGCGGAAUGCGUGGUGUAGCGGUGAAAUGCAUAGAUAUCACGCAGAACUACGAUUGCGAAGGCAGCAUACCGGCGCUCAACUGACGCUCAUGCACGAAAGUGUGGGUAUUGAACAGGAUUAGAUACCCCUGUAGUC